rnacentral:rRNA from 1 species
AUUGAACGCUGGCGGCAUGCUUUACACAUGCAAGUCGAACGGCAGCGCGGGGCAACCUGGCGGCGAGUGGCGAACGGGUGAGUAAUAUAUCGGAACGUACCCAGAAGUGGGGGAUAACGUAGCGAAAGUUACGCUAAUACCGCAUACGAUCUACGGAUGAAAGUAGGGGACCGCAAGGCCUUAUGCUUUUGGAGCGGCCGAUAUCUGAUUAGCUAGUUGGCGAGGUAAAGGCUCACCAAGGCGACGAUCAGUAGCUGGUCUGAGAGGACGACCAGCCACACUGGAACUGAGACACGGUCCAGACUCCUACGGGAGGCAGCAGUGGGGAAUUUUGGACAAUGGGCGCAAGCCUGAUCCAGCAAUGCCGCGUGAGUGAAGAAGGCCUUCGGGUUGUAAAGCUCUUUUGUCAGGGAAGAAACGGUAGAGGCUAAUAUCCUUUGCUAAUGACGGUACCUGAAGAAUAAGCACCGGCUAACUACGU